UACGAAGGGGGCUAGCGUUGCUCGGAAUCACUGGGCGUAAAGCGCACGUAGGCGGAUCUUUAAGUCAGGGGUGAAAUCCUGGAGCUCAACUCCAGAACUGCCUUUGAUACUGAAGAUCUUGAGUUCGGGAGAGGUGAGUGGAACUGCGAGUGUAGAGGUGAAAUUCGUAGAUAUUCGCAAGAACACCAGUGGCGAAGGCGGCUCACUGGCCCGAAACUGACGCUGAGGCACGAAAGCGUGGGGAGCAAACAGG
rnacentral:rRNA from 1 species